rnacentral:rRNA from 1 species
AUGGGUGUUUUUAAAUUCCCGGCAUCGCUGUGCGAGGAGUUGUCGCAGGUUAUAAGGAACUUCUGGUGGGGUGACGAGGAAGAUAGGAGGAAGACUCAUUGGCUAGCUUGGGAUAAGACGACUAGGCCUAAAGGUGAGGGUGGUAUGGGUUUUCGGGACCUUAGAUUAUUUAACCAGGCACUCCUAGCUAAGCAGGCUUGGAGGUUGGUGGUUAAUCCUGAAUCUCUGUGCGCCAAAGUGAUUAAGGCGAAAUAUUAUCCCCAGGGGCAUAUUCUUGAUACUGUUUUCCGCAGUCGGCUUCACUUACUUGGCAAGGCAUUUUGCAUGGGUUGGAUCUGCUUAAAUCUGGAGUCAUUUGAGAGUGUGUGA